rnacentral:rRNA from 1 species
CCUACGGGUGGCAGCAGUCGAGAAUCAUUCACAAUGGGGGAAACCCUGAUGGUGCGACGCCGCGUGGGGGAAUGAAGGUCUUCGGAUUGUAAACCCCUGUCAUGUGGGAGCAAAUUAAAAAGAUAGUACCACAAGAGGAAGAGACGGCUAACUCUGUGCCAGCAGCCGCGGUAAUACAGAGGUCUCAAGCGUUGUUCGGAAUCACUGGGCGUAAAGCGUGCGUAGGCUGUUUCGUAAGUCGUGUGUGAAAGGCGCGGGCUCAACCCGCGGACGGCACAUGAUACUGCGAGACUAGAGUAAGGGAGGGGGGACCGGAAUUCUCGGUGUAGCAGUGAAAUGCGUAGAUAUCGAGAGGAACACUCGUGGCGAAGGCGGGUUCCUGGACAUUAACUGACGCUGAGGCACGAAGGCCAGGGGAGCGAAAGGGAUUAGAUACCCGGGUAGUC